UCCCUCAUAGCUCCAUCGGUAAAGAAUCUGCCUGCAAUGCAGAAGACCCAGGUUCAAUUCCUGGAUCGGGAG
rnacentral:tRNA from 1 species